UUGAACGCUGGCGGAAUGCUUUACACAUGCAAGUCGAGCGGCAGCGCGGGGGCAACCCUGGCGGCGAGCGGCGAACGGGUGAGUAAUACAUCGGAACGUACCCAGUCGUGGGGGAUAGCCCGGCGAAAGCCGGAUUAAUACCGCAUACGUCCUGAGGGAGAAAGCGGGGGACCGCAAGGCCUCGCGCGAUUGGAGCGGCCGAUGCCGGAUUAGCUUGUUGGUGGGGUAAAGGCCUACCAAGGCGACGAUCCGUAGCUGGUCUGAGAGGACGACCAGCCACACUGGGACUGAGACACGGCCCAGACUCCUACGGGAGGCAGCAGUGGGGAAUUUUGGACAAUGGGGGCAACCCUGAUCCAGCCAUUCCGCGUGAGUGAAGAAGGCCUUCGGGUUGUAAAGCUCUUUCGGCAGGAACGAAACGGUGGGCUCUAACAUAGCCUGCUAAUGACGGUACCUGAAGAAGAAGCACCGGCUAACUACGU
rnacentral:rRNA from 1 species